rnacentral:rRNA from 1 species
UACGUGAGGGACCGAGCGUUGUCCGGAUUCAUUGGGCGUAAAGGAGCUCGUAGGCGGCUGUUCAAGUCGAACGUGAAAGCUUGGGCUUAACCCUGGGACUUGCGGUCGAUAACGGGCAUGACUGGAGUUCGGCAGGGGAGACUGGAAUUCCUGGUGUAGCGGUGAAAUGCGCAGAGUAUUAGGAAGAACACCAGUGGCGAAGGCGGCUCACUGGCCCGGUACUGACGGCUGAGGCGCGAAAGCGUGGGGAGCAAACAGG